AUAAAGAUAUAUUGGUGAUGUGAAUACACACUCAUUAUUUUUCUUUCUUACUUUAUUUGUCAGUAACUGCCAGAAAUGUUGUGAGCAAUUUUCUAGUGGCGUCAGUCAUGAGGAGUGAACGGCAGGGGGCGACAGAGUGCUGUGUUUGCGAGCGAUCGAUCCUGCUCUCUCAGCACCGUUUUCUUUUCUAGGCCUUUGCCUCCUAAACUGGUCCACACUCUCCGUCAUCAGCACCACUGAGUCAUCGCAGUUCGCUUUGAAUUAUCACUCUGCAAAAAAAAAGAAAAAAAAGAACAAGAACACUCUUGGCUUGGAGGCAGGAUGAGUUGAGGCUGGCUGUGUAGUGAUCUUAUAUAAUUCACAAAUUUCCAGGAGUAAGGGGGAGGACGGAAGCUUCACAUGACCAUAAAAACCAUACGGACAGGAGAGCUGACCAGGUGUGAGGGUUACCACGACAACUACAAAGAGAGAGAGCAGGCUCUCCAGUGUUUACAGGCUGUUUGACGUCAGAGAGAUUCUUAAUCUGUGGAAAUAAGAGGAUGCAGUUUAGCUCAAAAUAUCACUGUUUCACCUGCAUCACAUGCACGUUUAGAGGACUAUCCUAUUUUCACAGUGUGGUAGGGUUUUGGUCAGUGAUCACAUACUGUGGGACUCUUCCACUGAGAUUUCUGUGUGAAUCAUCAUGAUAUAGAUUACAUUUCUGCUGAAUACUUUUCAGAAUGACCAAAACAGUAUUGAUGUGUGUGUUUGGUAUGAGAUUUUAGUCACACAUGGGCCAUCUGUUUGCCUCAUAUCAUUUGAUGACUCUUUAGUGUCUGUGUUUUAUAUCGUUACUUUCUAAAUUAAAUUACUUUUAAACUGUUUAUGACUUAGCUGACUGUCACACAUUAUCCUGGUUACUAACUUGUGUAUAUGAUAAUACAGAGUCAUAGAUUUUUCUUUUGAUCACCACCAACCCAUAAUAAUUAGCUAGUAAACCCUUGGACUGCUAUGAAAAUGACACAGGUACAAUCCCAGGUUAGGGAAACCUGUAAAUUAGAGACUUGCUGAGAGAACCUUAUCACCACUGUAUCCCUGAGCUAACCUUAAAUUGGUACAUGAUUUUCACAUGUAAAAUCAACCAUAACAACCAUGGGUAAUUGAAAAUAAUCACUGAUAUCUCCACCUUCACUUGUUUGAAAAUUUGAUUUUGUAAUCAUAUGUAAUGUGUAGAAGGUAGGAUGUGAAUUGAAAAAUGAUACCUUUCACUGGAUAUAGAAAUUCCAUUAUUGAAGAGCAGGUUUCUAUAAAACUAGGGCAACUGGAAAGAAAGAGAAUGACAGGAGAAAAAGCAAGAAAGACAGCUAUUACAGUACCUGAGGUAAAGUUACUGGUGAGAAAGCUCUGCCAAUGAGGAAAAGAAUUUCUCAGAAUUAGGUUUCAUCCUUAUAAACUCUUGUGUGAACCCAGCACACUUGAUCUGAAAUGAUUUCUCAUCACUUGAAUUGACUCGUAGCACUCCAGAGCAAAUAAUCGGAAGGAGGAGAACAAGCAGCCAAAUUGGUGAAAUGAAUCAAUGGAAUCAAUCUAUGUAAUCAGACACUGAAUCAUCUUCAUCAUCUUCCACUCAUGUAUGUGUCUUAUCCCCCUAGUGAAUUGAUGUAUUGCAGUUACAUAACUGGAAAGUUAUCCAAUCAGACAGAGAUCAUUUGUCAUUCAAAAUUAUGAAAAAAUAGGUUUUGUGAAGAAUGCACGGAAGAGUAUUGGUGCAUGGUCAAUAAUGGUUCUGAUUUCAUAAACAAACCCUCUGUACUUUAUAAUCCAGACACUAACAGAGGACAUCACGCUGUUUAUGGGCCAGCUCCGUUUUAAUGCUAGUUCCUAAAUUUCAUCUAGUUAUUUAGUUACAGUUUAGCUCACAUUUAAGACUGUUAUUGUCAGGACAGUAUAUUUACUGCAGAGUGAAGAAUUUAACAAAUAAAACAAGACCUCUGAAGUCAUUAUGUCUAUUUACAUGUGUCCUCUUGCAUUGUUAAAUUCAUAUUUUUGCUUUCAGAGUGUAUCUGAGAUCAAU